CCUACGGGUGGCAGCAGUGAGGAAUAUUGGUCAAUGGACGAGAGUCUGAACCAGCCAAGUAGCGUGAAGGAUGACUGCCCUAUGGGUUGUAAACUUCUUUUAUAUGGGAAUAAAAUGUUCCACGUGUGGGAUUUUGUAUGUACCAUAUGAAUAAGGAUCGGCUAACUCCGUGCCAGCAGCCGCUGUAAUAAGGAGGAUCCGAGCGUUGUCCGGAUUUAUUGGGGUUAAAGGGAGCGUGGGCGGUUUUUUAAGUUAGUGGUUAAACGUCGGGGCGUCACCUUGAUUUGCCAUUAAUACUGUAAGACUCGAGUUCAGACGAGGUAGGCGGAAUAAGUUAAGUAGCGGUGAAAUGCUUAGAUAUAACUUAGAACUCCGAUAGCGAAGGCAGCUUACUAAACUGCCACUGACAUUGAUGCUCGAAAGUGUGGGUAUCAAACAGGAUUAGAUACCCGGGUAGUC
rnacentral:rRNA from 1 species